CUCUUACCAGUCUCUCACCUUCUACACUCUCCAUCUCUCUCAGCCAAACACCACAAAAGCACCACCACCACCCCUAGAGCCACCAUAAGCCACUAAAAAUUACCUAACUCGUUGCUACCUCUUGGCCCUGUCGAGCUUCGAGGAAAACAUAAGUUUUUGUUUCGUAUCUCGACAAAAUCCUGGACCAAAUCACUUCCGUCUUGGCUCUCAAAUGAAACCCGGACAAAUCUCUUUGGUUUGGUCAAGUUUGAAGGUGUGGGAUGACUCCACACAACCUCUAGGCCAUGGGUUGAGCGUGCAUGCUCAAAUCCACUUCGAAUCCGACGAAAUCCAAGAACUUCAACUCAGACCGUGACUUUCCCACUAAUUUUUGGAUUUAGUGGCAGCGCUCUUAUGUUGACGAGGAUUCCUGGCAAAAGUUGAUUUCGGAGACUACUUCUGAUGGAUUUAGUGGCAGUGUUCUUAUGUCAACGAGGAUUCCUGGUAAAAGUUGAUCUCGGAGACUACUUUUGAUGGUAUAUUUCUCAUUCUAAUUUUACUGUACUUUACUUACGUUUUGACAUCACGUGUGAAUUGGAUCAAUUCUUCUCACAUGCGCACUCUUUCAUUUAGUCACUUUUAGGUUUAAAUUUAUUCACAAUUUUUCAUAUCACUACACUUUAUGGCUUCAUCACCCUUCUAGUGUCGACCAACACAACUCGAUUCGGAGUCCAGGUGGACCUUCUGGGUUAGGGUGUUAUAUAUAUAUAUAUAUAUAUAUAUAUAUAUGUACACACACACACACACACAUAAUCCCGGGUACAUUCUUCAUGUUGUCACCAAGAAAAUAGCAAAAAGCUUUUGUGAGCGUAAAACCUAAUUGCACUAGAAAACUGGGAGAAUUCUUAUUGAAUUGAAUAACACUUGUGACUAUUAAAUAGCCUUACAACAAAAUCAGAAAGGAAAUAACAACCCACGAUUUACAAGGCCUAAGAUCGUGGUGCAUGACUAGGUCAGAAACAGAAAAUGUAAUCUUGUCCCUCAAGUAUAGGAGAGAUUAUUUGCAUGGAUAAAACUAAACCCUAAAAACAAGGAACCCUAACCCUAACAGCUAGGAGAUUCCAACAACUUUAACAUCCUCCCUUAAAUUGAAUGUUAUGGACAAUCAGUUUAUUCCAGGGUAUUCACAAACACCCAUUGCUUCUCGCAUCUUUGAAAAAAUUUCGAACUUCAACGGUUUAGUCAUAAUAUAUGCAAUUUGCUCCUGGGUAGAACACUGUUUUAGCUCCACUACUUCAUCAUUGACCAGAUUUCGAAGAAAAUGAAAACGAACGUUUAUGUGCUUGCUACAACCAUACAUUACUGGAUUCUUUGAGAGUUUGAUGGUUGAAAUGUUGUCACAGUACACCACCGUAGAUUCAGAUUGCACAUGACUUAAACUUUUCAAAAUUCUCCUUAACCAAACAACUUGACAAGCACUUGAUGCUAUAGCAAUAAACUCAGCUUCGGUGGUAGAAAGAGUAACCAUUGGCUGUUUCUUUGAAGACCAAGAUACUGCACUUGAAUUCAUCAUAAAGACAUAGCCUGACGUACUUUUUCUGUCAUCCUGAUCUCCGGCAUAGUCACUGUCCGUGUAACAAAAAAACUUUUCAUCUCCUCUAGUCCUAUAAAACACCCUAAAACUAGAUGUUCCAUUCACAUACCUUAGAAUGCUCUUUGAUGCCAUUAAAUGAGAUUUAGUGGGACGUUCCAUGUACCUACUGAUUAGACUUACAACAAACAUCAAAUCAGGGCGUGUGGCUGUCAGAUACAUGAGACUUCCCACCAUUUUCUUGUAAAGAAUACCAUCAACUAUCACUCAUUCUUCAUUCCCUUGUGAGUUUGAAACUAGGAACCAUUGGAUUUUGCACCGAGUUGCACUGAUCCAUGUUGAAUCUUUCCAGAACCUCUUAAGCGUACUUUCAUUGGCUUAUAAAGAUUCCAUCUUCCUUUUGCAACACUUCAAUUCCCAGAAAGUAUCUCAUUUUUCCAAGAUCAGUCAUGUUGAAUUCAACCAUCAUGGACUUCUUAAAUUGUUCAAUCGCAACUUCAUUAUUCCCAGUAAAUAUAAGAUCAUCAACAUACAGAUAAACAAUCAAUAUUUUACCUCCACUUGCUGUUUUAGUGAACAAAGUAUAUUCGUAGGGGCAUUUGUUGAAGCCUUCUUUGACAAAAUAUGAUUCUAUGCGACUGUACCAAGCUCGAGGAGCUUGUUUGGGUCCAUACAACGCUUUCUUGAGUCGAUAAACUUUUGAUUCUUCCCCUUUCUGUUCAUAACUUGGAGGUUGAUCAAUAAACACUUCUUCAUUAAUUUCUCCAUGCAAAAAGGCCGAUUUGACGUCAAGUUUCAACCAACUUUUCUGUGCAGCAAGAGAGAACACCAUAUGAAUUGUGUCCAAGCGAGCCACUGGUGCAAAUACUUCUGCAUGAUCGACUCCAUAUUGUUGGUUGUAUCCCUUAGCAACUAGCCGCACCUUAUAAUUGUCUAUUUCCCCAUGCUGAUUAAGUUUUGUUUUAAAAAUUCACUUCACUCCAACAUUCAUUCAUCUUGAUGGCAGAUUUGUUAGUUCCCAUGUCUCAUUCCUCUCUAUUGCUUCAAUUUCUUGAUAUAUCUCAAUUUUUCACUUUUCAUUGCCUCUUCAUAUGUCAUUGGAUCACAAUUAGUGAACAAAGCUAGCUGAGCUAUAUUCACACCUUCUUCAUCGGAGAGACCUUGACCAGUUUCAUAGUCUCUCAUCUAUGCAAGGGGUCUUCGUGUUCGUCGUUCUGGAAGUGAGUCGUCGACAUUUAAAGUGUCUCACUUGAAAAAAUUGUUGUUGUCGGACCCAUUUUCCUCUAGUUCUUCAACUGCCUCAGACUCAUCUUCAUUGUUUUCCUCUUCUAUACUUGCUUCUUCAUCGAGUUCCCAUUCUAAAUCAGCCAAUAUGGCUUGCUUGUGGUCAUCAUCCCAACUCCACUCUUGGUCUUCUUCAAAGACCACAUCUCUACUAAUAAUUAUCUUUUUUGAGAUAGGAUCAAAUAGCCUAUAAGCUUUAGAUUCUUCACUUACCCCUAGAAAUACACAUUUGAGACUUUUGGCAUUAAGCUUCACUCUCUUGUGGUCAGGUACAUGGACAUGCGAUAUACAACCAAAGACUCUGAAAUGCUCCACUGAUGGUUUAAGUCCAUUCCAUGCCUUUUCAGGUGUCUUGCUCUUCACGGCAAGAGUUGGACUCAUGUUCAGCACAUGCAUCAUCCAAUUCACGGCUUCAGGCCAAAAGGUUUUAGGAAUUCACUUAUCCGACAACAUACUUCGUACCAUAUUCAUAAUGGUUCGAUUUUCCUCUUGGAGACACCAUUUUACUAGGGAGUGUAUGUAGCAGUCAAUUGUCUGUGUAUCUCAUUCUCAUUCUCAUUACCAACUGAAGACUUUUGGAAGCCCUCCAUAAGAUUUCCUUUAGGAAUGGAUCACAGUGCUGUCUUCUUACUAGACAGCCUUCACAUACUCGUUGAAUGGCUUUGAACUUUGGUAACCCUUCCACCAUUUUCUUUUGCUAGAGUACUUUGAGUCCAUUCCAGAUGAGGUAUCCAUAUCGACGAUGCCAAAGAGUGGCCUGAUCCGUGGUCAGAGAGGAGAAACACUUAGUCUCUCUUCGUGGUGGGCAGUGGGCGAGCACAAUAAACAUUCUAUUCUAAGUCAUCUCAGUUUCAAUGAUUAGACCCUUCUCAGGAUGAAAGAUCUUACAUUUUCCUUGUUGAAUAAGCACAACGAGUCCCUUUUCUUGCAGCUGCCCGAUGCUUAACAGAUUUUUCUUCAGUUUUGGUACAAAGAAAACACUCGUGAUCUCGUGAACUAUUCCAUUCAUCUUUACUCGAGUUGUGCCUUUGCCUUGUACAAUAAGACUCGAAUCAUUUCCCAUCUUCACUGAUUCUUUGAAACUGCUAUCAAAGUCAAUAAAUAUAUACUUCUUGCCACACAUAUGGUUGCUGCACCUAGAAUCAAGGAACCAAAUGUGCUCAGUUUCAGCUUCCUUGAAAUCAACAUGCACCAUUAAUAACAUCUAUUCUUUUGUCUCUGCAUAGUUUGCUUGUUGAUCUCUUGCUUUCUUUGGGCAUUCCCACUGAAAAUGCUCGAGCUCAUGACAAUUAUAACACUUUAGGGUUGAUUUAUUAAACCCAAAUCAACCCCUUCCUCAUCCUCUUCCAUGAUGGGUACUUCGACCUCCUGAAGUGACUUGCAGCGCUUGUUCUUCCACUACAAUAUGGCGGCUAAUUCUUUGUUCAUGCACCAAAAGACUACUUUGAAGCUCAUCAAUGGACAAAGUAUCCAAGUCAUUUGAUUCCUCAAUAUAACAUACAACAUAGUCAUAUUUCAUAAUCAUAGACCUCAAGAUCUUCUCAAUGAUCACCACAUCCUCUAUAUGCUCUCCAUGAAUCCUCAUCUUAUUAGCAAUGAUAAGAGUUCUUCCAAAAUAGUCGUUGAUCGACUCUCCAACCUUCAUGUGCAGCACUUGAAAUUCUUUUCGAAUAGCCUACAAUUGGGCAUGUUUUACACAUGUUGUUCCUUGAUAUUUCUGCUUCAACAAAUCCCAGAUAUCUUUCGCAGUGUCCUUCUUCAAAUCGAACAAUCAAUGGCUUGAAACAAGUAGUUCUUGCACUUCAAGUCUUUCAACUUCUGAUCUUUAAUCACUUUCUUCUAUGCUUCGCUUGAAUCGGCUCUUUCUGCUGCUGUAGUGAUUCCCGUCUCCACCAAGUUCCAAUACUCUUUGGAACGUAGAAAAUUUUCCAUUAGCAUACUCCAGUGAUCAUAGUGUCCAUCAAACUUCGGAAUGGCAGGUUGCACGAAACUACUUUCAGACGUCAUCUCGUUGUUCCUUCACACUAGUUACUUUGUUGCAGGCUUUGAUCAGCCCCAGUGGUGGGGCUCUAAUACCAGAUGUUGUAACCAAGAAAAUAGCAGAAAGCUUUUGUGAACGUAAAACCUGAUUGCACUAGAAAAGUGGGAGAAUUCUUAUUAAAUUGAAUAACACUUGUGGCUGUUAAAUAGCCUUACAACAAAAUCAGAAAGGAAAUAACAACCCAUGAUUUACAAGGCCUAAGAUCGUGGUGCAUGACUAGGUCAGAAACAAAAAAUGUAAUCUUGUACCUCAAGUAUAAGAGAGAUUAUUUGCAUGGAUAAAACUAAGCUCUAAAAACAAGGAACCCUAACCCUAACGGCUAGGAGAUUCCAACAACUUUAACACUUCAAAACCACCAAAAAAAAAAAGAAAAAAGAAAAAAAAAGAAAAAAAAAGAAAGAUAGUAAGCUUAAUAACAUUAGGAAAUUUCUCCCAUUAAAUUUGACAUGGAUGCAUUCUCAUAUCUACUAAAAAGAAUGUUCCCAUAUAAGUUUAAAAUGGUUAGAAAAAAAUCGAAUGGAUCUUAUUUACAAAUGGGUACAUUUAUAUUAAAAAUUGAUACAUUUUACAUAUAACAAAUUGGUAUAUUUAAAAACAGAUACAUUUAAGAUUAAAAAAUUGAAAAAUUAUAUGAAUGAGUACAACUACAAAUAGGUGGUGUAGUCGAUAGAGGGAUAAUUUGGAGUUUUAAAACUACAAAUAGGUGUAGUUUAGGAAUUGAAUAAAUUCAUUAAAGUGAAAUGCUUCUUAAAAAAAACACUUCAAGUGCUUCUACUUUCAGCUGAAAACGCUUUUGAAAAUUUUGUAAACAGCAAUUUUUAAAUUUAAAGUUAUAAAGUGUUUUUAAUCUUCCAAAGGAACCUUCAAAUGAGUUAUUUAAAACCCAUAAACAUUUCUAGUUGAAUCUGUCAAACGCUGAGCUUUUACCCUUUUAAAAAUAAUGUCAAACAUGUCCCAGGCUUAACUGAUUAAUCAACUCAGUAACGAUCAACUGAUUAAUCAACUCGGUUAUUGAAUCCACGAUGUCACCGCUUAUCUCUGUCCAGUGUGAAUUCAAGAGCCACUAAACUAAUGUGUUGCACUUGCACAUAGGCAGGCUAUGCAAAAGCUAAUCAUAUACACAGCAGCUUCUGGUUGUCAUCUUAAUUUGGACUGAUACGGCUGUGCAACAAGGAAUUUAAAUUACAUUUUUUUUAACAAACGAUAUUAUCUGUCUUAAGAGAAUGGGAAAAUGUGCUAAGUCUCACACUGGAUUAGUCAUAAUAAUGUAGUUCAAAUUGAUGUACUUUGUAAUCAUAUUAGAGGCAAGUCAUCUUAACAAUUUAUAACAUGAAAAAUGUUUAGUCUAGUCUCGUAUAUGGCAGUGUGACUAAUUCACGUUAUAUUUACUGUUAGAAAUCAACUCGUAUGACCAAUCGAGCACCCAUCGUUUAACAUUUGUGGCACAUAUCGCGAUCUCAAGUUGAAUUAGUGCACAAUUAACAUGAUCUUUUAGCUCAUGACUCAAGCUUAAGACUUGAGUAAAUUGUGUUUGACUUGACGACAGGCUUGGUUCUUGAGUUGAAAAAUGAGAAGACUCCCAUGACAUGUUGAUAGAUCAAACUCACGAUGACAACACAACUAUUGAUACAUAUCUUGUGAAAAUAUACAAUGUCAAUUUCAUCACAUCUUUGGAAAUAUUUUCUUUGCACUGAAUUUGUGCACUACAAUAUUCCACCUCCAAAUUGUGGUAGCAAGUCAAAAUCAACCCAAAUUUUUUCCAUACUUUGGUCUCAUAUAUAUAAUAUAUUAUUUUUCACUAUAUAAGAGUAAAGUUAGGGAUAACACAUUUUUGUACCACAUUUGACAAAUAAGGCAUUUAUAUAACAAACAUCUAAUAAGAUAAACUCAUACAGUGAAAUAACACAUAUACAUCACAUGUCAUACCAGAUAGUACAACAGUGCAUACAAAUUUGUGGUUGCUAUAGUUUUUUUUUUUUUUUU